rnacentral:hammerhead_ribozyme from 1 species
AGCAACUGACGAGUCCCAAAUGGGAUGAAACGCGUGUUCUAGAU